UCUCAUGAGAUUACGAAUAAAGAUUUAUCGGUUAUGGAUGGGGAUGCGUCUGAUUAGCUUGUUGGCGGGUAACGGCCCACCAAGGCAACGAUCAGUAGGGGUUCUGAGAGGAAGGUCCCCCACAUUGGAACUGAGACACGGUCCAAAACUCCUACGGGAGGCAGCAGUGAGGAAUAUUGGUCAAUGGACGCAAGUCUGAACCAGCCAAGUAGCGUGCAGGGUGACGGCCCUAUGGGUUGUAAACUGCUUUUAUAUGGGGAUAAAGUGGGGAACGUGUUCCCUUUUGCAGGUACCAUAUGAAUAAGGACCGGCUAAUUCCGUGCCAGCAGCCGCGGUAAU
rnacentral:rRNA from 1 species